rnacentral:rRNA from 1 species
UGUAAGCGUAUACCAAAGUUGUUGCAGUUAAAACGCUCGUAGUCGGAAUUUGGCAGUUCCGGAUGUGUGCACGUCGUGUGCGCACUUCGCGGGGAUUGCUUUUGUGGUCUUGCGUAGGAUGAGGCACUUUUAUUAGUGAACGUCCUCACGCAACCACUUUUUACUGUGAGAAAGUCAGAGUGCUCAAAGCAGGCACUUGCCGUGAAUGUAUUAGCAUGGAAUAAUAGAAUAGGACUUGGUUCUAUUUUGUUGGUUUGUUGGGACUGAGUAAUGAUUAAGAGGGACAGUUGGGGGCAUUUGUAUUUCGGUGCUAGAGGUGAAAUUCUUAGAUUACCGAAAGACAAACUGCUGCGAAAGCGUCUGCCAAGGAUGUUUUCAUUGA